rnacentral:rRNA from 4 species
UGGUGGGUAGUUUGACUGGGGCGGUCUCCUCCUAAAGAGUAACGGAGGAGCACGAAGGUUGGCUAAUCCUGGUCGGACAUCAGGAGGUUAGUGCAAUGGCAUAAGCCAGCUUGACUGCGAGCGUGACGGCGCGAGCAGGUGCGAAAGCAGGUCAUAGUGAUCCGGUGGUUCUGAAUGGAAGGGCCAUCGCUCAACGGAUAAAAGGUACUCCGGGGAUAACAGGCUGAUACCGCCCAAGAGUUCAUAUCGACGGCGGUGUUUGGCACCUCGAUGUCGGCUCAUCACAUCCUGGGGCUGAAGUAGGUCCCAAGGGUAUGGCUGUUCGCCAUUUAAAGUGGUACGCGAGCUGGGUUUAGAACGUCGUGAGACAGUUCGGUCCCUAUCUGCCGUGGGCGCUGGAGAACUGAGGGGGGCUGCUCCUAGUACGAGAGGACCGGAGUGGACGCAUCACUGGUGUUCGGGUUGUCAUGCCAAUGGCACUGCCCGGUA